UACAGAGGUCUCAAGCGUUGUUCGGAUUCAUUGGGCGUAAAGGGUGCGUAGGUGGUGCUGUAAGUCAGGUGUGAAAUCUCGGGGCUCAACCCCGAAACUGCACUUGAUACUGCGGUGCUUGAGGACUGGAGAGGAGAUCGGAAUUCAUGGUGUAGCAGUGAAAUGCGUAGAUAUCGUGAGGAAGACCAGUGGCGAAGGCGGAUCUCUGGACAGUUCCUGACGCUGAGGCACGAAGGCCAGGGGGAGCAAAACGGGG
rnacentral:rRNA from 1 species